ensembl:lncRNA
AUAAAGUGUUCAAAUAUAGAUUUUGCUGUAAUAUUUUGCUUUGUGUUAUGUUUGGAUAACGAUUCUAGUUCGCACUGCCAUAUUAACAAGUAAAAAAGUGUCCAAAUCACUUAAUUUUUGAACCGUUUGUAUAUAGUUUUAUCAUUUAAAACAAACAAUUUUGUGUAUUUGUCAUAUAUCUCUUUAAAAUAUAUGCAACUUAGUCUGAUAUUCUAUUAAAUGUACGCGACGUUCGUGCGCUUUUAAUACUGUUUGAGGCCACUCUUUAAUAAGAAUGCAUUAUUUCUGCACACUAAACGCUUGGACCGAGACUUGGUUUGGGGGUGAAGAGUGGAGCUGUGGUCAGGGAGAGGUUAACUGGCUCGUGCGCUCUGGUGGCUGGGCAGGCGCGGAGCUGCGGCGCGCUGACGCGGGGAUGGAGAGCUCAGAUGCGCUGCUGCUCCGCCAGGAUCCCGCGGCCCGGGCCGACCUUUCCCUACUGCUUUCAACGCUCUUCUGCGCCGGAACUUUACAUCACGGACAGAAAGACACGCAGGGUCAUCCCCCAAGGGCGUUGAUCUGGGUCAGAUCAUUUAUCGCUGAUCACUCCACCCCACCUUUCCCAGCCUGUAAGUGACUGCGAUUGGAUGGGGGUUAAUUAGCAGUUCAUCAGGCAUUUCCUGGACUUCCUGGUUUCUUGGCCCAGUCCAGCUGAGAGUCCACCUGCUCCGCUCAGAGAUCCAGCUCACUUUCCCAUGACGGCUGGACUCAAUUAUCGGCUCAGAAAAACCACCGCGUUGAGGUGAAUUUAGAUGUGAUUGUCUGCCGAAUGGAGAAAAAGAGUCCAGCGCUACAGUGACAG